AUGUCACUCUCAUAGUGAAAUAUUAUCACUUUAUACUCAACGAACUGAAUCAAAUAUUAUUGUAGAAUUUGGUGCCACUGGGCUGUAGCUAAGCCUACCUCCAAUGAAAACUCAUGCCCCGCGGAUAUUCCGCGUUCAGCAUAGACCCUGUCCAUCCGCCCAUUCUUCGCCUGUCAUUUCAAGUUGAGCCAAGGCGUCUAUUCAUCUUCGAAUAGCAUUUGGAUCUAAGAAACUGGAUUAUACAAAAUGACAGACACAAAUAAUUAUACAGAGCUCAUAACGCAAAUAUUUCAAGAAGCACCCUCUGCCAGGAAGGGGCUCCUUGAAAACUAUAACAAUCUUCUUAAAGUUGCCGAUUACUACGAAAACAAAUAUCUGCAGGUGGAGGACAGAAGGGCGUGUAUUGAGGAGACCAUGUCGUUAACAACCCAAGCCCUGGCCAGUGUUACCUACCAGAUUAACGGUCUGGCUACCACCCUUCUCAGACUGCUAGACCAACAGGCCAACCAGCUGAAAGACAUGGAGUCCUCCAUCAAUCUCCUCACUCUGGCAGUAGCUUUCCACCAUGAAAAUGUGUCUCGGAGGGAGAUUGGUGUUUUAACAAAAGCAAAGAAGAAACCCUCCCUGACCUUCUCUCGCAAGGCAGACCCGGGGGCUGUGACUGAAUACUCCAGAGUGCCCAUUUGCUACUCCAUCCUUGACAACAUCGGACACUACUUUGUGGUCUCUGGGCUGCGUCCACAGAAGACAGGGUCUAUGGACAGCAUACAGAGUAUAGGAGUCCACCAAGGUCGUGCAGCGGAGCCUGUAGCAUGUCCGGUUGUUCCCACUGGAUCCAACCUUGGAAUUGCUGUGCCCCCACCUUCAGUGCCCACUUUACCCUCCAUCCCCACACUCACCCAGGACUUUCCACCGGCCUCUGCUUCUCCGCCUAACAACCUGCCUCCUCCUUCACCUCCACCUACCUCCAUUUUUGAUGAGCUUCCUCCUCCCCCUCCUGAUCCUUUCUUCACCUCAUCCACCAUCCCUCCUUCCCCUCCUCCUCCUCCGCCUACUUUCACUUCCUCCCCUAACCCCCCUCCACCACCCCCGUCUCCCCUCAAAACCAGUGUCACUCCUCCGCCACCUCCACCACCUCCAAGCUUGUCCAAUGGCCUCGUCCCUCCUCCUCCUCCACCACCUCCUCCUCCUCCAUCACAAUUCUAAACGUCUGGUGAUGAGCAGCCAUGUCAAGACUUUCUCUAUGGAAAGGUUAUUUUCUUACACGUUUUUGUGAUUUUGAAAUUAGUUUCAUAUAAAAUAUUGGCAUUUAUAAAGUUUGGGACGGGCAGUGCCAUGGUUCAGCCCGGAUAAGGCUAACCAUUUGUAAAGGUAAAAAGUAUUAAAAUAAUCCCAAACUACCUCCGAAUCUCAAAGUGUUUUGUCAUAGUUGUCUGUGUAGAACCUCAACCUCUCAAACAGUAACUUCUAGAACAUCUGAUAACCUUGAAAACCACACAUUCCUACAUGCAAAACAACUGCACAGAAGAUCUCCCUGGUGUGGACUGCUGGCCUGAGCAUGUCCCAACACCUCCAGCAACAUUCCUCAGCAACACGCCUGGACAUGGAACCUCUCUCACAUAUCCUUGCCAUCUGACAUCUUUAUCAUCAUUUCACCUGAUUUCAUACUUGUACCUGUAUCUUCUUUUUCCCUUGCCGUUUGACUCUUUUUCGAUGAACCGUCCCUGACACCUACAGUGCUUAAACGACAAGCAGGUUGUAGGUUAGCGCCAGUGAUAGGAUGUUUGCGUCACUGACUGAACCACUAAUAGGGCUGUGUCUUUAAGCAGGUCAAUGAGGCUGUAAAAUCAACUGUCUUUGACGUACAUUGCGUAAAUUGAAUGGGUUGAGAUGCCCCGAAAACAACUCAAAGGUUGCCUUACAGUUACUGUGUAUCCUGACUACUUGGUUGGUAAGAAAGCCUGAGCCCAAAUGUGUCUACCAUGGACAUGAAUUAUAUCCUCAUUAUGAAAGUCCCCUUCUUCCUGCUUGGCUUAGCUCUGUACAUGAUUUGUUGCCGAACCAAGCAGAGGAACCCGGAUGAGGACGACCUGAUCGUCCCACAGCCCCCUCACUCAUCCUCCAUCUACAUCAUCCCCAUGCACAAUGAGGAAGGGGAGGAAGAGGAGGAUGACGAGGACGCGGAGCACCUCUGCGCUUUCUACUCUCCACCUCGUUAUAGCGACCCUCCUUCCUACAACUCGCUGAGCCUCCACUGCCCACCGCCGUACUGUCAGGCAGACGUCCCCCCUCCUCCUUACAUAGAGGACUGCCAGCUUCCAAUGGCACACCGCUGACCUCUACCUGGGCCCUCCCACCUCCACCUUCAUCAUCCAGGGCACCCCUUCUUCACAACCCAUCAACCGCAUCAUCACAAAGUCCAGAGGGACACUACUUUCCCCAUGCAGUUCCCUACUGUCUUGUUGUUGUUGUUGUUGCUGUUGAUCGAACCGUACCACAUUACAGACCUAUCAAAGACAAAACAACAGCCAACUUGAUUUAUGUCAGUUGCAUACAGCAUUGGACAUUUUACCUGGGUGUGUGUAUUUCAUUCACUGUUGGCCAUGCAUUGUUUUGUAUCAUACAACCCUACAGUGUUGGUGGCAACUUGAAUCUACCAUUAAGUAUUUUCAUAUUAACAUUAGAGAAGAUACACAUUUGCCAAGACAAAAUUAUUCAAUCAAUGCAAAGUGAGAUAUUGUAUUUAUUUGAAUGUGGUACUUUGUGUGAUUUGUACUGAAAACUAAAGGAAACAACUAACUUUUUUACCCAAUGC